rnacentral:rRNA from 1 species
UACGUAGGGUGCAAGCGUUGUCCGGAAUUAUUGGGCGUAAAGAGCUCGUAGGCGGUCUGUCGCGUCGGCUGUGAAAAUCCGGGGCUCAACCCCGGACUUGCAGUGGGUACGGGCAGACUAGAGUGUGGUAGGGGAGACUGGAAUUCCUGGUGUAGCGGUGAAAUGCGCAGAUAUCAGGAGGAACACCGAUGGCGAAGGCAGGUCUCUGGGCCACUACUGACGCUGAGAAGCGAAAGCAUGGGGAGCGAACAGG